AGGGGCCCCCUUGGAGGAAAGGCAUGCACCGCGCUCGGCCCAGGCGCGCACUUCGUGCUCACUAAGCGCUCAGGAUACGGAUCCAGCGGUCGUUACCAUGAUCAUCAGGACAGCGUUCCCUGUCCCCACUGAGCCGUCAGGAAGCCAUUUAUGACCCCAGAUGCCUGAGAUGUCCUGCUUCUCUAGACUGCUGCUUCGUAUGGGGUCUGCACCAGGGUUGUCUAAAAUUAUAAUAAUGAAACUGAGGCUCAAAAAAUUAUGAAACUUAAUACCUGAAACCAUAAAAUUCCUGGAAGAAAACGUAAACAGUAUGCUCUCUGACACUGGUCUUAGCAAUAUUUUUUUUGGACCUGUCUCCUCAGGCAAGGGAAACAAAAGGAAAAUAAACAAAUGGGACUACGUCAGACUAAAAACUUUUGCACAGUGAAGGAAGCCACCAACAAAACGAAAAGGCAACCUACUGAAUGGAAGAAGAUAUUUGCAAAUGAUAUAUCCAAUAAGGGCUUAAUAUCCACAAUAUAUAAAGAGUUCAUACAAGUCAAUGGCAAAAAAAUCUGAUAACAAAUGGACAGAUGUAAUAAACUAUAAUGGAAAAGAAUAUCUUUAUCUAUCAUCCAUCUAUCUAUCUAUCUAUCUAUCUAUCUAUCUAUCUAUCUAUCUGAGUCACUUUGCUGUACACCAGAAACCAACACAACGUUGCAAACCAACCAUACCACAAUAAAAAAAUAAAAAUAAAAAAUGGGCAGAGCACUUGAAUAGAUAUUUUCCUAAGGAAGAUAUAGAGAUGGACAACAGGAGCAUGAAAAUAUGCUCAGCAUCACUAAUCAUCAGGGAAAUGCAAAUCAAAACUACAAUGAGAUAUCACCCCACACCUGCCAGAAUGGCCGUCAUCAAAAAGACAACAAAUUUUAGGCAUUGGUGAGGAUGUGGAGAAAAGGGAACCCUUGCGCACUAUUGGUGGGAAUGUAAAUUGGUGCAGUCACCCUGGAAAACAGUAUGGAGAGUCCUCAAAAAAUCAAAAUUAGAACUAUCAUAUGAUUCAGCAAUUUCACUUCUGUGUAUUUACCUGAAGAAAACGAAACACUAAUUCAAAAAGAUACAUGUACCCCAAUGUUCACUGCGGCAUCAUUUACAGUAGCCAAGACAUGGAAGCAACCCAAGUGUCCACUGACAGAUGAAUGGACAAAGAAGAUGUGGUAUAUACGUACAAUGGAAUACUACUUAGCCAUAAAAAUAAUGAAAUCUUGCCAUUUGCAAUAACAUGGGAAGACCUAGAAGGUCUAGUGAAAUAAGUCAGACAGAGAAGGACAAACACCACAUGAUUUCACUUAAAUGUGAAAUGCAAAAAACAAGACAUAUGAACAAACUAAACAAAACAGAAACAAACUCAUAGAUACAGAGAAUAAACUGGUGGUCGCCUGAGGGGAGGGGGUCGUGUGUGGGCAGCAUACGUGAAGGGGAUCAAGAGGUACAAACUUUCAGUUAUAAAAUAAAUAAGUCAUGGGGAUGUAACAUACAGCAUAGGGAAUAUAGUCAAUAGUAUUGGAAUAACUUUGUAUGGUGGGAGGGGGAGGUAUCAGGAACAUUAUAGCAGAAAUGCAAAGCUAAUAAGCUAAUCAGCUUCUGACAUUCAAUGUAAGAUUUAGGGACAACGUAGUAAGAUUAAAAGCCAGGUUUUAGAAGAGGGAGUGUAGGGAGAGGAAAGUGGAGGAGGGUAGUACAUUUAUUUAUUUUUUAUUAUUUUUAGCAUAUCAAGAGGAAAACUUGGAAGAUUUAGAUCUUCAUUUCUUCCAUAGUUGAAGAAGAUACCUCUUUCACCUUGGCAAGGCUCUUUGGCAUCCCACCCUGGAAGGAUAUGGCCAAGUUUGAUGAGAAAGGUUGACCCCACUUUGGGGCAGGAUCGCACCUGGAACGGUGCAGGCAGGCCUCUGGCUUGCCCCAAGCGCUUCCCAACAUGCCUGCUUUUCCCGGAAGAAAGUGUGAGAUGCCCAAACGGACCAUAUGGUUUGGAGCGAGAGCCUUGGAGCCCACAGACAAUGGGGAAGUGAGAGGCCCAGGAAGAGACUGAGGCUUAAGGAGGUUAAGACACAUGCCCGAGGUCGUGAGGUUGGCAGGCAGUAGAGUCAGAGAUGGAACCCAGGGCUAUCUGGCUUCAGUGCCCAUGAUGUUGACCACUCAUCAUCCUCCUUCUGCCACUUUCUUCCUUUCUGUGAACGCCCACUCUGUGGCAGCUCCACCUAGGGUCUGGGGACAUGGAAUGGAAACCACAACCCUACUCUGUAGCGGGGGGGAUGGCUGUUGCAGGUGUGGAGGUGGGGGACAUUGAUUCAAAUGUAUUUUAAAAUGUGAAGUGAGUGCCCUGCUCUUGCAUAUGUGGUCAACUUCCCAGCUCCAGGGAAGUCUGGGCCGAAGAGAGAAUGAAUCAGGUGUGAGAGGUUUAGCUCUGCAUGGCGCAAGGCUGUGUGCUUCUGAGGGGAAUGUGUCUAAGGUGCGUCUCUCUCUAGGCAAGGGGACAUUUCCUGACUUGGCUGGACAGAUCACAUUUCUGACUUGGGCCUGACCCCCCAUAGGAUGGUUUUGUGUCAUGCCCAAACCCACAGCACUCUCUGAAUCACGCCUUUUGUGCCAGAGGAGACCUCUGCACCUGCUGGAGUUGGAGUUGUCUCUUCCCCUUAUGAGACAGAUCUGUGCAAACGUGCUUCUCUAAGCAGUGGACACGGGCAGCCUUUCCAGUCCCAGACAGAAAACAGACAUCCCCGGAACACUCAUGGGGGUGGGAAAGAGGAGGGACUCCUCAAAGCAGAGUGGGGGCUGAGCGGUUGCUGGGGACAAGGCACACCUGGGUGGGUGGCCAUCAGCAGAAAGAGACCUGGGACUGGUUCCAGGGAAAGCCAUUUGCAGUAACAGAGGCCAGAAGUGCACCUCCAUUGUUCCCAGGAAAUGACCCACGUGGCAUGUUUAGGGUGGGAAUGUGAGGGCCCCUGCCCUCCUCUCAGACCCUCAGCAGCCCUCUCAGUUGCUCCCCGCCAUCCCCUAAGUCCUGACUCUGCCCACUGAGCACUGGCAGUGGGUCUAGCUGAGGGUUGGGUGUAGAAGAAGACCCCAUUCCUGCCCUCAAAGAACUGGUAGUCUGUCUGGGAGUCGGAACAGAAGCAUGCAGAGCAGCCAGCGGUCCGCAUUUGCAUGCAACUCUGCCUGUAUGCGCUCACCCGCUCAGCCAAUCACCCGCCAGUCGUUUCCGGAGAGCCUCGCAGGUGCAGGGGUCGCUGUGUGUAGUGCUGGAAAACCCAACGGAGCUGCUCUUCUGGAACUUUCCGACAGGAAAACAGACCACAGUCACAAAAAUGAAGAAACAUUUAAGAUGACAGCAGGGGGUAACGAGUGCUAAAUAAACAGGGUGCCAUUGUGAGGAAAAACAGGAGAAACCUACUCCAGCUGAGGUGGCAGAGAUCUCUGAGGAGAUGACGUGGAAGCUGAGACUUGAAGGAUGAGAAGGAGCCAGCCAUGGAGAGAGCUAGAGGGAGAGCAUUCCAGGCAGAGGCCCGAGCAAGUGCCGACUCGGGGGCAGGAACAAGCUUGUAUUGUGUGAAGAACUGAUGGAAGACCAGGGUAUGUUAAGAAAGCCUUCAGGAGUGAGGUGCAAACCUUGGACAAACAAUGCAUAUCAGCAUAACAUGAGUAAGAACAGGCGUCUACUGAUCGCUCACCAGGUGCCGAACACUGUGCUCAUGUUACACCUGAUUUACUCCUCACACCAGCUGGAUGAGGUGUGCACUGUCAUACUCCUAGUCAUGCAGAGGUCAGACAGGUGAAGUCAGUUGCCAAAGGUCAGACAGGUGAAGUCAGACAGGUGAAGUCAGCGGUGUAACUGGGUUUUGAACAUAAGUCUGAUUCAAGACCCCAGGUUCAUAACCAUUAGGUGAUUCUGUCUCCCAAUAUGUAGUACACACUGCGCACACCUGCUACAUGGAAAGGACAGAGAAGGGAGGAACCAGAGAAAAUUGUAGUCAUGGCUUACAGUGUAGGCUGUUGGGAAGAUCAUGUAGAGAGAAGUGUGGACAAUCAUAUACUGAAAAGUCAUUAUUAAAGCUAUACCGCAUCCUAAGGAGUUUAUUAUUCUUUGAUGAGCAGGGCUUCCUUUAGAGCAUCUUAGCUGUCUAAAGGUGGAAAACAGCGCUACCUGUUGGUGAAAAAGGGUGGUGGUUGUACGACAACUCGAGAACACUUGGGUCCAUCCCUGGUGAAGCGUUUCUCGGUCACCCCCAGGAUGUGCAGGCUUGCACUGGGCUGGUGGGUGAGGAUGUGGCAAGAGGAGUGGGCUGAGGGCUGGAGGGAAUGGAGAACUCAGAGGCACAGCUUUGCCUCCAGAAUAGAGAGGGCUGAGUCGGGAGGUUGGGCUCCCCACUCUGUCUUCCUCAUGGGCACACCAGGGGAUCUCAGAAAAUAAAAAUGGGGAUGUGGAAAAAGUGAGAGAUCUAGGAAGGCUCGAGAAGCUGGGAGAGGCUCCAGCAAAGAGGCAAAACCUGAGCAAGCAAGUAUUUGUGCAUAACUGUGAAAUGUUGUAAGUUCUUCACUGCAGUAUUGUUUGAAAUUUAAAAGGUGGAAACGACCCAUGUGUCCAUCAGUAGAGGGUUGGUAAAUAUGUUGCAUGCGUAUCACGGAAUGCUACACAGCUGUAAGAAAAUAAGGAGCAAGCUCUUUAUACAGUGAUAUGGAAAAGUCCCCAAGGUGUAUAAAGAGAGCAAAACAAAUCAACAGCAAAGAUUAAGGUGUAGAACGGUGUGCACAGUAUGCCAUGGUUUAUGUAAACGGAAGAGGGGAUAUAAAAUAUUUAUCUUGUUUGUCUGAGCCAAAGGAAACUCUGGAACAUGCACAGGAAACUGUUAACACAGCGGUUGCCUGAGUGAGUGGGUGGGA